UCACUUUAAAAUAAUCAAAAUCAAAUAUUGAUGCUAAAAAUGAUUUAUUAUUAUUACUGACUAGAAAAAAAUGCAAAAGAUUGACAAAAAGAAAUUGGACUUGGUCCAAUCAUCGGUAUUAUGCAAAUCGAGAAUGCAGUUGUGCAUAAUGAUGAGGCGACGUGCCUACAUAAUUGAUUUUCAAUGUUGACACACACACAGCCCCAAGUUCAUGUAAUGUAAUAAUAGUGGAAAUGCUAAUUAUUACUUUGGCAUUAACAUUGCCCUUACAAAUAAUACGAAUAGUAGAAAAUCCUCAAUGGCAACACAAAAAACUAAAAUGCAGGUGGAAGCGCAUUGAAUGCAAUUUGAUAAAAAUAAAUAAUAAUUAUGGAAUAAUAAUUGAAUGCCAAGUCAAGAGGCAAUCAGGAAUUGAAUUGCUUGUGGAAACAGGAACAGUUAUGUUAAAUGACAAAUCAAAAACAAAUCAGUUCAAUAGUAGACCACAAAGAUUGGAUUGAAUAUUAAUCGAUUUUUGUUUUUGGACAACUCGUUUGACAAGCGACACAUGUGACGCUUAUCUCGAAAUUAGUUCAAAUGAAACCGAAAACCAGAAAACUACAAACCCAGAAACGUAUCGACGCCCAUCCGACCAGGUUCAUUGAUCUCAGCCAGUUUUUUUUUUUGUUUCGUUUUCUUUUUGCGUUCUCUAUGUCUCGCCUUUUGUAUGCGAAAUGCUAAUUCGCGUUUUAACCGAACUUUUGUUGCCUCAAAAAUAACAAGUUCAGGUGCAUUGACACCCGCCUCCAAUACUUCAAUUGCUCAUUUUGUUGUUUUUGUUGUUUUCGACGCAUUCAAUGCGAAGGUCGUUCGCUGAAGUUUUUGGCCAAAAAGUUCAACGACAAUUUGUUGUUUCUCACUUUUGUUGCUGUUGCUGUUGAUGACUAAUUGCAGUACGAGGAAGUCUUUAAUAGGUGGGCACGAAAGCGAAUGCGGGUGGCUUGUGGGAAUUACAAUUCGAGGUACUUAAGAGUCAAAAAUAAAGAGUCAUAUGAUCGAGAGUUGAACCCAAUAU